rnacentral:rRNA from 1 species
UACAGAGGUCCCGAGCGUUGUUCGGAUUCACUGGGCGUAAAGGGUGCGUAGGUGGUGGGGUAAGUCGGAUGUGAAAUCUCGGAGCUCAACUCCGAAAUGGCAUUGGAAACUACCCUGCUGGAGGUUUGGAGGGGGGACUGGAAUUCUCGGUGUAGCAGUGAAAUGCGUAGAUAUCAAGAGGAACACCAGUGGCGAAGGCGAGUCCCUGGACAAAACCUGACACUGAGGCACGAAAGCUAGGGGAGCAAACAGG